AUGGUUGUUUUAAUGUCUAUGGGGUUGUUGAUUCUCAUUCAAACUUUGUGCUUUGUGCGACCAAGGAUACCAGACGAUUCAUUGUAAUCGUGUGUUCUUGUGUGCUUGAAUCACUAUAAUUGCUUUUGAUCUUCUACAUCUUACUCGUAUUUCCGCUACCUGUUUGAUGUUUGAUAUCCGAUUGUUAAGUGAUUCUGGACUUACAAUUGGUAUCAGAGCCUAAGUAGUCUCACGAAGGCUAGGUUGGAUCGGAUAUCUUGAAGAUUGAAGGUUGCUUUUGCUGCUGAGUGUGUUCGAAGUUUGACAGAAAAGGUCUGAUUUCUUGGCUUAUUUUAGUUCUAUUUUAUAACUUUCUUCUGUCAACUGUUUAUUGGGUUCGAAAGGAUUUGAGUUGUCAAUUUUUGCUUUAAGAAUCUGCUUAUUUGCGUAUGUUUAUCAAACCAAGUUGAAGCGCGAAUACUGAUUUUAAAGUGAUUUUUCUGUUUUGGUUCAAAUAAGUCAGACAUAUUGUGAAUCAAAACAGAUCUGUUAAUCUGGAAUUUUGACUUGUUUUGGUUAGAAUUCUCGUGAAAAUCUAUUGUUUUGAAUAUCAAAAUUGGAACUCAAUUAUCGUUCUGAUAUUAAAAUCUCGUUUUGAUAAAAUUGAAAGGUUUUUGAGGAUACAUAUAAAUUUUUUGGCUGAAAGUUCAUUGAAAAUUUUUGAAUUUCUGGGUUUUUGUGCUUCGGAUUUCUUCAAAUUAUUCUUUAGAAUUUUUGAAAAUAGUGGGUUUGAUCUGUUUGUGUGGAAGUUGGUUGUGUUUGCAGAUUUUUGGAAAGUUUGUUGCAGGUAUUUUCAAAAAGGAUUCGAAAAUUAAAUCACCAUAUCUUUCGGGAUUUUAGUUGAAAAACUGAAAUAUUGCAUUUCCAAAUUUUGGCUUGUGCGAUUGAAGAACUUGUACGAUUGGUGUGUAUUGGGCUCUUAAAGGACUGAAGCCCAAUAUUACAACUUGUGCGAUUCACGUUGGGUUGUGCGAUCACAUAUAAUUGGGCUGUUAAGGACUCAGGCCCAAGUUUUACAACUUGUGCGAUUGAAGACCUCUUGUGCGACUGGAAAGAUCUUGUGCGAUCCACUGUUUUUGUUGAACUGUUGCCAGUGAUCUUGUGCGAUUGGACUCUUGUGCGACUCAAGGGUUUAUUUGAAAGGGGUCAUAUCAUCUUGUACGUUUGGCCAAGGGUUCAACUGAAGACGUCUUGUGCGACUCACCUUGUGCGAUCGAUCUUGUGCGAUCAAAGGAGUCAUACUGUCUUGUGCGAUUGACAAAAGGUUCAGCUGAAAGGUGUCUUGUGCGAUUCAUCUUGUGCGAUUGUGAUCGGAUCUAUUCACGUGGACUGGACCAAUUGGGCUUGUGGACUGUUUUUCAGAACUGUUUUGUAUUGGAUCUUUAAUUAUCUGUUGAACCAUCUGAAUUGUUAUUUGAACUGUAUUGUAAUCAUUAGUGAUAUUCAUCUGGUUUUUAUAUUUAAUAUUACGUGUUACUCAU
rnacentral:lncRNA from 1 species